GAGGCCCUUUUUUGUCUUUCCUCUUUGGCGGACACUAUGCAGAUAGUGGUGAGCAACUUGUAUCCAAGGGAAAGACUGGAUUUAAAUCCUACCAAACUCUAUUUAACUGCAUCUCUUGUGGCCUCAUGACUAAGCUAAGGCUAAUGAUUGACAAACAGAUCCAAAGCCUCUUAAAGAAGAGCUGGCGUCUGGCCUCUGCUCCCCUUCUUCUCUGUCACUCUUUCCAUCCCUCUGGCUUGGAAUGUGAUGCGAGAGUCACAUUCCAAGCUGUGGCUGACUUCUUGUGCUAUGAGCCUGCACAGCUCUUUCCAGCAUCCUGACAGCUAGUCAACAUGGAGGAGGCUUCCAGCUCAGCUCCAGCUUCAUUUUCAGUGACCUGCAGCCCAAGCAUGCAAUAGAAUGUAGUGUUUGGGAGGUAUCAAGGGCCUCUGUAACCAACAACUCACUGGAAGGUAUUCCAUCCCUGGCACUGAAAUUUUUCUAAUAAUAAUCUAUGGCUUCUGGGCACAACA